GACGAACGCUGGCGGCGUGCUUAACACAUGCAAGUCGAACGGUAAGGCCCUUUCGGGGGUACACGAGUGGCGAACGGGUGAGUAACACGUGGGUGAUCUGCCCUUCACUUUGGGAUAAGCCUGGGAAACUGGGUCUAAUACCGGAUAGGACUACGCGAUGCAUGUCGUGUGGUGGAAAGCUUUUGCGGUGUGGGAUGGGCCCGCGGCCUAUCCGCUUGUUGGUGGGGUGAUGGCCUACCAAGGCGACGACGGGUAGCCGGCCUGAGAGGGUGUCCGGCCACACUGGGACUGAGAUACGGCCCAGACUCCUACGGGAGGCAGCAGUGGGGAAUAUUGCACAAUGGGCGCAAGCCUGAUGCAGCGACGCCGCGUGGGGGAUGACGGCCUGCGGGUUGUAAACCCCUUUCAGCACAGACGAAGCGUAAGUGACGGUAUGUGCAGAAGAAGCACCGGCCAACUACGUG
rnacentral:rRNA from 1 species